rnacentral:rRNA from 1 species
CCUACGGGUGGCAGCAGUGGGGAAUAUUGCACAAUGGGGGAAACCCUGAUGCAGCGACGCCGCGUGAGCGAGGAAGUAUUUCGGUAUGUAAAGCUCUAUCAGCAGGGACGAAAAAAGACGGUACCUGACCAAGAAGCCCCGGCUAACUACGUGCCAGCAGCAGCGGUAAUACGUAGGGGGCAAGCGUUAUCCGGAAUUACUGGGUGUAAAGGGAGGGUAGACGGCAAGGCAAGCCAGGAGGGAAAGGGCAGGGCUCAAACCUGUACAUGCUUUUGGAACUGUGGUGAUAGAGUUCAGGAGAGGGAAGUGGAAUGCCGAGUGUAGCGGUGAAAUGCGUAGAUAUUAGGAAGAACACCAGUGGCGAAGGCGGCUUACUGGACUGUAACUGACGUUGAGGCUCGAAAGCGUGGGGAGCAAACAGGAUUAGAUACCCCAGUAGUC